GGAGGACAAAGAGACCAUGCUUAGGUCAAUAGGAGAACCCAUCCUGUAUUUUUUUUUUAACCUCAAGUUUUCCCUCAAGUGCCAGCCCAAAGACAAGCUCUUGCUUCUUCUGUACUGAAUUUCACCAGAAAACUUGACACAUCCUGUCCACAUACAAUGUUUCCACUACAAUUAUAUCAUCUGUAAUAGAAGAAAAACAAAAAACCACUUGAGUUCCUGUCUAUCUUCUUCUUGUUCUGCUGAAAGAACCAUUUCUGUGCACAUCUUUGAAUAGCAAAUAACACUUGCUGGAAGAUUUCAAAAAGAGGGGACAAUCCUUUUCCUUGCCGUGCUCCCGGUGUUAAAGAAGGCCUACAUUUCUCUUCUCCAAGGCAGUUUAUGAGUCAUCCCAUCCAGAGGAACCAGAUUGCUAAACUACAAAGAUAAGACCGGCCAAACCUUAAGACGUAAGCUCCAAAUUGGUGCAUCCCUGGGCACUCGCUUUCUGGAAGUGGGGCAGGGGCAUGUUUGGAGAGAAAGAACAUUCAACCUCCGCUGGGCUCUGGACCCCCAGCUCUGCGUCAACAGGAGCAGUUGUGCCUUUGUUUUCCUCAUAUAUUGUUUGUCUCAAUUAAAGCAGCUGGUCCUAAGCGACACCCCCAGGUACCUGGGGAGUUUGAACAAUUCAAGAUUCCAGGCCCUAGUCAUGGGGCCAACUCGUUUGUCCCUCGGGCAAGUGUCCCCCUGGCUCUUGGUGGAUAUCCAGACUGAUGGACUGAUUCCAAUGGUCAGUG
rnacentral:lncRNA from 1 species